rnacentral:rRNA from 1 species
AUUGAACGCUGGCGGCAUGCCUUACACAUGCAAGUCGAACGGUAACGCGGGGCAACCUGGCGACGAGUGGCGAACGGGUGAGUAACACAUCGGAACGUGCCCAGUAGUGGGGGAUAGCCCGGCGAAAGCCGGAUUAAUACCGCAUACGACCUAAGGGUGAAAGCAGGGGAUCGCAAGACCUUGCGCUAUUGGAGCGGCCGAUGUCAGAUUAGGUAGUUGGUGGGGUAAAAGCCUACCAAGCCGACGAUCUGUAGCUGGUCUGAGAGGACGACCAGCCACACUGGGACUGAGACACGGCCCAGACUCCUACGGGAGGCAGCAGUGGGGAAUCUUGCGCAAUGGGCGAAAGCCUGACGCAGCGACGCCGCGUGAGUGAUGAAGGCCUCGG